UGGGGAAUAUUGCACAAUGGAGGGAACUCUGAUGCAGCGACGCCGCGUGAGUGAUGAAGGAAUUCGUUUCGUAAAACUCUGUUCUAUGGGAAGAAAAGGACUGUACCAUAGGAGAAAGCUCCGGCUAAAUACGUGCCAGCAGCCGCGGUAAUACGUAUGGAGCGAGCGUUGUCCGGAAUUAUUGGGCGUAAAGGGUGCGCAGGCGGCUUUACAAGUUGGAUGUGAAAUAUUGUGGCUCAACCACAAACGUGCAUCCAAAACUGCAAAGCUUGAGUUAAGGAGAGGUAAGUGGAAUUCCUGGUGUAGCGGUAGAAUGCGUAGAUAUCAGGAGGAAUACCGGUGGCGAAGGCGACUUACUGGACUUAAACUGACGCUCAGGCACGAAAGCGUGGGGAGCAAACAGG
rnacentral:rRNA from 1 species